rnacentral:rRNA from 1 species
GAUGAACGCUGGCGGCGUGCCUAAUACAUGCAAGUCGAGCGAACAGACGAUGAGCUUGCUCCUUUGACGUUAGCGGCGCACGGGUGAGUCACACGUGUGUACCCCACCUAUAAUUCUGGUAUCACUUCGGGACACCGGAGCUAAUACCGGAUAAUCUCUCGCACCGCGUGGUUCGAUAGUGAAAGAUGGCUUUGCUAUCACUUAUAGCUGCAUCUGCGCCGUAUUAGCUAGUUGGUAAGGUAACGGCUUACCAAGGCAACGAUACGUAGCCGACCUGAGAGGGUGAUCGGCCACACUGGAGCUGAGACACGGUCCAGACUCCUACGGGAGGCAGCAGUAGGGAAUCUUCCGCAAUGGGCGAAAGCCUGACGGAGCAACGCCGCGUGAGAGAUGAAGGUCUUCGGAUCGUAAAACUCUGUUAUUAGUGAAGAACAAACGUGUAAGUAACUGUGCACGGCUUGACGGUACCUAAUCAGAAAGCAACGGCUAACUACGUG